AAAGCCGAAGGAAUCUACCUGGAAGGGCUCGGUACCUGUAGCCAGUGCUGAGCUGCGCUGACGCUUCUAGCAGCCCUCCUCUUUGGGAUAGCACCUGAGCGGUCACAGCGAGGGGAAAAAGCCACCGCCCGUACAAUGCCUGCCUUAGGUGAAGAGCCGCCCUUAUGACUGCUGUCGGCUGAGGAGAAAGGGUGGGGCGGGGAGGGAGGCUGCCCUCGUGCCUCCUCCAUCUGCGUCCCUGGGGGAGGCGAUGCAUCGUAGUGCUGUCACUGUCCUGAAGAAGCGGAGCUCUUGGUUUAGAAGAGAAUGAGGAGUUGCUGGAAGUCUUCUGAGGAGGAUGCUGCCCACCACUCAGAUGAGGAAGAAGGUCCCUGUGGAGAAAGAAGAAUACAGAAUGCAAUGUAGGUCUGGAAUUGCAGAAACUGGCUUUGGAGGACUAAUCUUUUUCUUUCUAAACAGGUACCAGUUUUGUUCUCAGCAGAUGUGUUGGACCUCUUGACAGUCAUUUGGGGUUCAUCAGAAACACUAUUACAAAUUAAAAUACAGUGUAAUUGGGAUGACUGCAAGAUGCUAAAAGUAGUCUUUUUGUCAUCACGUCAUUAUUUUACAUCCAUCAUUUGGAGCAUGCAAGAGACGAAGGUAGCUCUUACCAAGGCCUACUCCAUUAUCUGUUCUGAAGUAUCUUUUGCAUCUGAUUGAGUUGCUGUUCUUACACGCACCUGAAGAAGUCCACUCAGCUAUAAUUUAACCAGGAAAAAAAAUCAAAUAUAAUUAUUGGAAAAUCACCUUUUGUUCAUUUUUGUCUAUAAUAGCUCUGUUGGAAAAAGAUAAGUGACUAAUCAAAGUAAAAGGCUGCUUAGGAAUGAAGCAAUAUAAAGCUCAUCAACAACAGAAUUCAGUGAUAGACCCUGAGGCAAUUUCCAAGCUAUUACAACUGCCUGUGGAGACUGCCAAGCUGCAGUAGCUAGAAAAAUAUCUUUCACAGUUUGAUUUGAAGUCCUCUGUUUCUCUGUCAUCUCUUCUUACUUUUAGGAGAUAUUGUGUAGUUAAUGAAAUGCAGUAAGUAGUAUAUUUACUGUGAAAUUUUAACUAAAUAUAUGUAUUCUAACAAUCCAGUAGUAAUGUUACUAUAGUGUGUUUAUUUCCCUAUGCUAAUUUUUAAUAGAUGUUUGAAUUUUAAAUAUAAAUAGAAGUAAUGGGCUGACAUAGAGGAAAAAAAGGCUAGUAUAAAAAAAGCUUAUUGCAUAUCAGCAUUUUAUUAUGAUUGGAAAUAUUUGUAAAUAUUACAAAAAUUAAAAAAAAUUAAACACCUGAAGUACUACCCUGAGACUGUAAAAUGAGGAUGUCAAAAAUAACAUUUAUUGUGAAGGAGCAAUUCUAAUUCCUGUUAUGCCAUGAAGCAAACUGAUUCAUUUUCUCUUAUGUGUUUUAAACAAAGCUAAGUGAUGUUUACAGAUCCUCAAAGCCCAUACAUAGAACAAUUGCUUGUUUUUUAUUUAAUAGCAUAUAAAGACAGUAAUCAGAAUAUGAUACUCAUACAAAAAGAAACUAUAGUCUUGGCUUUGCCCGUGAUGAAAGACUUCAAAUCUCAUUUAAGAAAGGUAUUGCAAGUAAGUUUAACAAGCUAUAAUAGGUAGCUAAUGUGGAAUGAAAUACACGUACAGUAACAGUGGCAGAUACAUGUACAACUUUGUGUCAUACAGGAGCUCUUUCCAAAGUAUGGCCUUUCCCCUUUCUCCUCCCUUUUCAUUGUUGUACCUUGGUAUGCUGGCAAUAUGCUGUCUGCUUGUAAGUGUGAUGGAAUGUGGCCCAAGCAAUUUUAAUUCUUGAACCGUUUGGUACAAACAGUGGCUAGAAUAAGAAAGUUACAUUUAACAGUAUAAUUUAACAACAAGUUUAACCUGUAAAUAAUUCAUUUUACCUGGGUGAUGUAGGAUAACAUCAAACCUUUUGAUGCAGCACUUAGAGAAGGAAGGCUCAAAACAAGUAAUGCCAUUCAAAGUCACAAAGUUAAUGAAAAAUCUCUGUUCUAGCUGCAAACCAGUGUGAUGCACAGUUGAAUAAGA